UUUUUUUUUUCUUCUUCCCUUAAACAUAACCUUAAAUUUUAUAAUUUCCAAAAAACUUGAGAAUGUUUUCAUUCUUCCUGUUAGAAAGCAGCAUUAAGAGUUAUCCAUAAAUUGAAAUGAAAUAUUAGGACUCUACAAGGAUUACUGGAAAUUAAGCUAUGUUAACCAAAUUAUUCAUAUUAAUUUCAUGGCAUCAAAAGAACUUAAAAAUUCUUUCCAAACUACAUCAUUUGCUUAAUGUAAUUGUACUAGGAUGGCAGAAAUCACAGCAAAAUUAAACAAAAAAGUACAAGCACAUAUACUCUAUAGCAACUUCGGCAAGUUUAGUUGUUUGGGCUUUCUGCUUUGAAAUAUUAGAGUUAAUGCUUAGAUAUAAGUAAAACAGAGUUUCACAAAACACAUUUUCACAACACCAAAAGACAUAAUUGUCAGUCUGCCAACAAACUGACACCCUAACUGUGCUAUGUAUGAGAUAUUACACAACAAAAAAAUAAUUAUGAGCUUAGUAUAGUUGAAGAAUUAAUUUGAUAUCAUUAAACCUACAUUACUAGCUUGCUUUCUUAUUAAUUAUAAAGACUGGAAAAUAUGCUAUAAAAGUAAUGCAAAUAUUACAUUUGGAAAAUAUUACAUAUGGAAAAUAAUAUAUCACAGGAGUUAUUUUUCCUCAGUUUAAUUUAUCAAGGGCUUUAUAUAGUAUCCAUUUAUUUUUCUCCUUAUUUAUAAAAUAAGGACUUCCAACUAGCCUGAGGCUGGCUGCUUAGCUACUAAAUUUGCAGCAAAAUAAGUAGGAGCUAAGAAACAAUGACCCAUCCACAGACAUGAUCCUCUUGUCAUCUGCAUUACAUGUUAUCUUUUAAACAUUAGGAUCUCAUGUGCAGGAUGCUGUCUCUCACUGUCCCUUUGGUUCUCAGUGUAUGCAACUAAGGAUGCAAUCACCCAAAGCAAAUUAUUAGGGAAUAAUUGCUGAAUAUUUUAAAUACAAAAACAGGAUUGUAUUCUUCUUUUCUAAGUCUUACACAUUCAGUCUGAUAAUAUGAAUCCAAAGUUGUUAGCAUUCUAAAAUAAAACUUUCUGUUUCUACAUUUUUUUUCUGCUCAAAAACAGCAUCCGUCAUUUUGUAUUCUUAAAAACAAUAGAAAUUAACCACCUUAUAUGGUAUCACCAAUGAUAUAUCCAUUGGAACGGAGGAGCAAAGUAUACAGGCAUUUCUGAGAGCCCACAGGGAAUCCAACUGAUGAAACUGUUAAUGAGCAAAAUCAUUCUGGUGUCAUAAACAGGGGAAAAAAAUCCCAAUACAACUGCACUAAAACCAUUUUAUUAUUUAUGACAUUCAUACAAAAUGAAAAAUAAUAAUCAAAGUUUGCACUGUGCAAAGUCACAUGAGCAGGAGAGGAUUACUCCUCCAAGUCUAAUAGAAAGACAUUGUCUACAUCAGAAAGGCUUUUGGCAAUGUCUCCGAAAAGUUCUUCAGAAACAAUCUAAUGGGGCAUAGACUGGAUGAAUAGACAGUGAAGCAGACAUAAAACUGGUGGAAUAGAUGGAUCCAAAGGGAGGUGGUCCGUAGCAUGAAGCCUAGUUGAGGAUAACAUCCAGUUUUGUACCCUAGGCAUCAGCACUAGAUCCAACCAGAUCCAACUGGAUCCAGCUUUGCUCAAUAUUCUCAUUAUUCUGGAUGACAGGGCAGAGCAUAGCUUCAAGAAGUUUGCUAAUGAUUCAAAACUGGAAGGUGUGGUUUAUAUACCCCGGUGUUCAUGCUUCCAUCUAAAGGAAUCUCAAAAGGCUGGAGGAGCAGGCUGACAGGAACCUCCUGCCGUUAAACAAGGAACAGAGCAAUAGCACAGUAGCUGCUGGGGGCCACCCUGCUGGAAAGCAGCUUUUCUUCAAAGGUCCAGGGGGUCCUAGAGAACACAAAGCUGAAGGUGAGCCAGCACUGUGCCCUUAUGGCAAAGAGGGUUCAAGGCCUCUGUGAAGAGAGUUGCUACCAGAUCGAGAGAUGUGAUCCCCUCUGCUCAGCACUGAUGAAGCCAUGUGUGGAGUAUUGUGCCCAGGACAAGAGAAAUAUGUAACUCUUGUAAAUAAUUUAGGAAAGGAUCACUAAUAUGGUCAAGAGUUUGGAGUAUCUCUCAUACAAAGACAGACUGGUAAAGCUGGGACUGUAAAGCCUUGAGAAGACAAGCAAAGAGUUUGGGAUGUCAUAUCAAUCUAUGCAAAUAUCUGCAGGCAUGUUACAAAGAAGAUGGAGUCAGGCUCAUCCCAACAGUGCUGAGAGACAAGAUCAGAGGCAAGGGGUACUAAAACACAAGUGGUCCCUUCGAAUAUCAGGAAACAUUUUCUUCUUGCUGUGAGGGUGAGCGCAGGCACAAGUUGCCUUGAGACAUUGUUGAGGCACCAUCCUUGGACAUACUCAGGGGUCCUCUGGAGGUUGUUCUGAGCAACCUGUUUUAGGUGACCCUGCUUGAGAGGAAGGUUGGACUAGAUGAACUUCAGACGUCCCUUGUAGCCUCAACAAUUCUGUGGGUCUAUAUAAAAACAUACUCAACAAAUAAGUCUAAUUUACAUUUAAUAGAGAUUAAUUCAUCUUUCUUGUGAAAAUAUAUUGAUAAACUAUUGUAUCAUUUAAAAUGCCUGUUUUACAAAACUUCAUAUGCUUGUCAAGGAGCUUCUGUUUUUUGACAUGUCUUUUUAAUACUAAACUUAAACAAAUGAGUCAAAAAACAUUAUUUGUUUUAAAAAAUUCAAAGUUUUAAAAGUUGACACAUGAAAUUAUUAUAAAUCAUGUGUGUUUUCUUUAAAUCCCACUAAAAAAAAACCCUGAUUAUUUUUCAACUCGCUUAUGUUCUGUAGACUACUUUGAGCACUAGUUGUAUACUUUCUUCAUCAUCCUCUGCAAUCUUUUUCUUCCUGGAAUAUAAUUUCUCUAUGGCCCUUUUAGCAUUUCUAGAGUAGCACAGUAACCCUUCUGGUAUUUGUAUAACAGCUGAAAAACAGUCUUAAAUUUGACAAGACCAAAUAAUUUGCUUUUAUUACUUUGCUUACUAAUGAUAGUUAUUUGAAUUCUCAGGAAAAAGCAAAUAAAAUCUGUCUGUUAUAUACAGAAAUUGUUGUUCUAUUAUCAUAUUUCUUUUUCAACAAUGAAAUACAAAACCACCAAGAUUUUCCUUAGAAAGCAUCUGCACUUAAAAGUUAGAAAGAUUUUUUUUUAAAGUACUUUACUUAUACAUCUUAUCCACGUACAUACUUCUGUUUGUCAAAAGUUGUGUCCUAUAAUAUCAAAAGAACAAAGGAUGGCAAGAAGGAGAAAGCUCACAGUGUAGCUUCGUACCUUAUGGUAUGUUUGCUACAUAUAAACAUUCUGCCUCAAAUUCUGCCCUAAAUUACUGCCUAGACCAACAGGAAAUUACUUUAUUCCAAUUUUAGCAUUUCUGUAUGAGCUGCUUUUUAGUAUAUUCAAGACAACAAGUAGUCCAAUGAAUAUUGCAAAUUAGCAAAGCACAUUAUCUUUCAUCCACUAUUAUAGUAGAGUAAUUACUUUAAUGACAAUAAUGGACUAAAAUAUAUAUAUACAAUAAUGGAUUUGUUUCAAGUCUUUGUUCUACAAAUAAUAGAGACUAAUUGCCUUAUGAAAAGAAAUCCAAGUCACAAUUCAACUUUCUUUAAAGAUUGUAAUUAUAAUCCACAUUGUUUCAUGACUCACUUUUUCUAACACAGUGGUGGAAUACCGCUGCUAAGAAAAUCUGAGAUUACUUCUAUAUAGUAUUUUCUCUUCUUUUUGCUGCAGUGCUCUUAGAAAGCCACAUGACACAGCUUCAUAAGUAAAUCUUUAAGGAGGUAGGACUUCACAGCAAGCUCAGUAAGUGGGCUCUAUCCAAAAUGAAAAAUUUAUCGUGAUCACCUACAUAAUUACCUACCUAAUUCUAAUUGUCUAAAACAAUGGAUUACUUUUUCUCUCUCUCAUUGAUGUUACUAUAUCAUUGUCUUACACCAUUUCUAACACUGCACUCCAUUACUAUUAUUAAUGAAUUUUAAUAGUACCACCAGCAUACCCCAAAUACUGCUCAGCCUAACAUCCUUUGUGAAUGAAUUCUUUUAAUCUCUGAAGUCACUAUACCAGUCUUUUACAGCCCCAAAAUAAUUAGCAGAGAAUAUACUUGUAUUCAUACCAGUGACUUGCACCAUAUGAAGAAUAUGUUUCAGUUGCCUGUUGUUGCUUCUUUCCUGAUAAAUUUCACAAAUUCAUAUGAUGAACUAUUUGCACUGGUAGUCCAAAUGACAAACUGAGCUUUGCCAUAUGCUUCCAAACUCAAUCACAGAACUCUAGGCUACGUUCUAGGAUGUUGUAUUUCAAAGCAUCUGGCAAGCCAGAAUGUAUAAAUUGAAGAUCUAGCUAUGAUAGGGUUCAGGCCAGGAAAGUAGAGGCAGCAUAGUAACUAUAAAACUGAAACACUAACAAGUCCUCCUGGAGUUACUGUGGUGUUUUCUCAUAUGCUCAUUUUUACUAUGCAAUAGACAAGAAACAAUGCAAUAUGGCUUUUUAUUCUUAGAAGAGUCAGUUCUCACAUUAACCAAGGCUCUGCACUCAGUGUGAGUGAUGAUUUUUAAAACACAUGACACCUGAGCUUGUCCAACAAAGAUCCUUUUACCAAGGAUUAUCUUCUAUGAUACUUUAGAUUUUAAAAAAGAGAAAAUGGACUCCCCUUCAAACCACACUUUUUCCUUCUUUUUCCUUUAUUUCCUUCUGCUUUACUGUUGGAAACACACUUGUAAUGAGUGAUGUGAUGUAGCUUGGGAAGGCUUCAGGCCUGCUGUCUGAAGUGCAAUGAGAAUCAUUGCAAUUUUUGUCUUUCUUCAGUUCCCAAUAUAAUUUCCCAUUUUUGCAUUCUUACUUAGCAAACAUACAAAAAGACUGCAAAUCUGCUCUGUUCAAACACAUUUCUCAGCAGAGUAACAAGGAGACAGUGAGGCUAAUCUCUAUUACAUUCUUCUCCCUAAAACUUGUUUAGAGUGUCUGUGCAAGCAGCUUCUGUCAGAGGGAGCCAGGGAAGCAACAGCAGAGGAGGACCAAACAGCAAACACAGACCAACUUCCAAAAUGCUGCUCAAAGCACAACAGCAUGUGGCUAAAUAGUUCUGUAUAGCUUUAUAUUGUUUAAUUAUGUGGAAAAAAGACAAUAGAAUACUGGAACAUGGGGGAUCAAUGACAAACACAUGGAAAACAGGAAACAUACUGUAAAUUCACUUUGUUCCAUUAUAACAACUACUUUGUUCCAUCAUAACAAGGGCUGAAGUCAUAACAGAUCAUCAAUUGUUAAUUUUUAAUCAAUUUUUAAUUCAGACAUUCUGACCUGCAAAUAAAUUUUUCAGGAUCUCUAAAUCCAGAAUAUCCUAAUUACAAUAACCAAUGUAGGUUAAAGAGCAUAUGCAGCAGCCAUUGCUGUUUUACAUGGCUUUAAAAAUGACUUGCAAUAAACACAUGAUUUUUAUAUACAUAUAAACAUACAGCUCCAUGGAUUUAUAAGUCAGAUAGAUACAUUUCAAAUUCUCUUUUAAUUUUUCUACUUGAUAGAUUUAGCCCAUAUUCUAAUCAAGCUAUAGACAGUUAAUUUGGUACAAAAAAAUGCAAGAUAAGCAAAAAAAGUACCAGAUAAGGAGAAACAAAAUUGAUAAAAUUAUAUCAUUUAAAAAAGGAUAGCUAUAACUACAUGAACACACAAAACCAUCUGAAAUAUUUCUAGAGGAAAGCAGGUAGAAAGUAGUGAAGUCAGUUACAACAUAAAAUUUUAACCACAUUUUAUGCCUUCAGCAGUAAAUUAAAUUUAAUGUUGUAUUAUAACACAAUCCCAAAAUGUCCUCUACAGUGUGUGAAAAACAUGAUAGUUUUUCAACAAAAUUAAUAUAAUAAACCAUUAGUGAUCGCAAAAAAAAAAAAUCUCUACUCAUCUUUAAUCAGUUUAAAUACUGUGAAAUUCCUGGGAAAUUAUUUUUACCUGACAGCAGGCCACUGCCUGUUUGUUAUUCUUUUGAAUAAAAGAGCCACUUUUUUGUCUUACAUGUUUCUGAUGCAUGUCACACACAUGCAAAGUUAAAGAACAAUUGGCAACAGCAGUGGAAUUUACAUUAUUCCACAAGAAAAAGGGAAAAAAACCACCACAGUCCACACCUGAACCAAUUCCUUCUUAAACAUUCUUAUUCUGACUAUUCAACAACAAACUUUUAACAAAUGCAACAUAUUAUGUCCACAUCCUAAAAAAUUUAAAAUCUUUUGCUUUGUAGUUUUUUAAUACAAGAUAAAUAUAAACACACCUAGGCAAGAGGCACAGCAUGGUAUUUUCAUUUACUUUCUGCAAUACCAAAAAAGGCUAGUUUGAGAUAUAAAACAAGACUAAGAUAUUCCCAAAUCUCUGCUAGUAAGCUUUACCAGCGUUGUAUAUGCCCACCCAGCCCCAACUUAUGCCUGUACUGAAUUCUUGGUCUUAAACACAAAGAAACUUUUAUAUAUCCUUUUAGGAUAGAAAUCAAUCCAAGUAAAAGUAAUAAAUGAGAUCAACAAAGUUAUCAGAGUCAAGUAUUUAAAGCAAAAGUAUCAAGCCGUUUGUGUUCUUGGGAAAGGUUUUCUAGUGAUUAUCCAGGUUACUAUGGGCACCUUUUCUUUUCCUUUUUCUCAUCUCAGUUUGGCCAGUGUUGUUAUAAGUAACAAAGAAUGUUAAGAUAUGAUGUUGCUUACAUUGAAAGCAACUGUAAAAUCUAUCAAAAGAUGAAUUAGUCAGUGUCCCCUUGGGAUGAUCAAUGAUAGUAAUUCAAAAGAAUUUGAGGCUGAUGAAAUACUGUCUAGCAGGCAAAUAAACAGUAUUCAGGAUAUUUGCAAAUGACAGCCAGUUCAGCUGAGCAAGAGAAGUCUUCACAGAACUGUUAUUAAUUACUGAAAAGCAAUAAAAGGAAAAGUUUCCUGCCGUUGAUACACUUAUGGGUUGGGGAGUAAUUUCAGCCACAUAUGAUACCUGAUAUUAACAGUUCUAAAAAUACCUUUUCUAUUUGGGAACCCUCCAGGUAGCGCUGGUUGUAUACAGAGAUACAAACUCUCCAGUCACAGGCACACAUAGACACAGACUCACUGGGCUGGAGUAUAAAUUGACCUAGCUGAGUUUUUUACUCUCUGACAGAAGCUACUAACAGGUGCUCAUGGAAAAUGUGAAAACAGGGCCUCAAAACAGAAUGACAUUCCUGUCAGAAUAUGGAAAGAUGAAGUUGUGGUUAAAUACACAUCAUCAUUAUGCCGAAUAGCUCUCAACAGGCUUUUAUCCUUGGAUUUUACCUAAAAAUAUGUGAUUCCACAUAUACUUUGACAUUCACAUAAAUACAUUUAUUAUGCUGAGAAAAAAUAAUUUAUUUGAAACCUGAUGCCUGAUCAGUACUGUGUGAUCUGGUUCUUGCAUGAGAAAUAACUAGUGACUUUUUCAGAUUCCCUCACCAUCUCACAUCUGUGUAUAUUUUCAUAGAAACCCAAGCUCUUUUCCAAACUGAGGCACUUUAGUCUAUCUGACCAAUCUUUGUUUUUUUCACUAUUUCUUUUCAAAUAACUCCUAACAAGCUCAUCAUCUUUUAAGACUCCUGCUUAGCACCAAGAUGAUAUUUUCAAACAACUACCCACAAUGAUUGUUAGAACCCAGGAGUGUUAUUUAAGAUCCAUUGUUAGCUAUGCAUAGCUAAAGUUGGUUUUUACCCUCUUGUAUUUAUUGCCAGUGAGCUUUCCUCAACAUGUUUCUUUGCAUGGAAUCACUAUUGCUUGAUAGCCUUGACUCUAGGAGCUCUAAAAGGAUACAAUAAAAAAAGCUAUUCUGAAAUCCAUAUAUAAAAAAAUAACUGGAUCAUGUUACUUACAUUUGCUAACUCAUUAAAAAAAAUCCUUAAAAAAAAAAAAAAAAGAAAAA
ensembl:lncRNA